rnacentral:rRNA from 1 species
UGCCAGACUCCUACGGGAGGCAGCAGUGGGGAAUAUUGCACAAUGGGGAAACCCUGAUGCAGCGGCGCCGCGUGUGGGAAGACGGUCCUCUGGAUUGUAAACCACUGUCCCCAGGGACGAAGAUGACGGUACCUGGGGAGGAAGCUCCGGCUAACUACGUGCCAGCAGCCGCGGUAAUACGUAGGGAGCGAGCGUUGUCCGGAAUUACUGGGUGUAAAGGGAGCGUAGGCGGGCGAGAAAGUUGAAUGUUAAAUCUACCGGCUUAACUGGUAGCUGCGUUCAAAACUUCUUGUCUUGAGUGAAGUAGAGGCAGGCGGAAUUCCUAGUGUAGCGGUGAAAUGCGUAGAUAUUAGGAGGAACACCAGUGGCGAAGGCGGCCUGCUGGGCUUUAACUGACGCUGAGGCUCGAAAGCGUGGGGAGCAAACAGGAUUAGAUACCCGUGUA